GUGCCAGCCGCCGCGGUAAUACCGGCAGCUCAAGUGAUGUCCCAUAUUAUUGGGCCUAAAGCGUCCGUAGCUGGCCGACCAAGUCUCCCGGGAAAUCCACCCGCCCAACGGGUGGGCGUCCGGCGAAAACUGUGCGGCUUGGGACCGGAAGAUCCAAGGGGUACGUCCGGGGUAGGAGUGAAAUCCCGUAAUCCCGGACGGACUACCGAUGGCGAAAGCACUCUGAGAAGACGGCUUCGACAGUGAGGGACGAAAGCUCGGGUCUCAAACCGGAUUAGAAACCCGUGUAGUCC
rnacentral:rRNA from 1 species